CAUAGGGAAAUUCGGGUACCACUCUGUACUAGUUUUCUAUUCAAAAACAAAAUGCUGUUAUCUCAUAGACAUGAAAUGUUAAUGAGCUGUGUUUCUGUGCCCACUGGGAGCCACCCAUGGGCCAGUUCUGCUGUGGAGAGUGCUAGAGAUUACUGAGUAGAAUGUCAGAAUUCAAGUGACCUCAAAGCCCCAUUGUGACCAAAUGGCCCUUUGCAUGAAUGGGGAUGUUCACACUCUGGCCUGUGAGCACAGAAAAGGGAGCUGAUACACCAUCUCUAGACGAUUAUGUAGUUUUUCACCAGACUACUCCUGAAAUGAGGCUGAGGAUCCCAUGGGAAAACAGAAAAAUCAAAUGUUAAAUCUGUGCCCUCCCCAGGUUGUAACAUCUGAAAAGCCACCACGAUGGAAAGUGACUGAUUAGUCUUGUCGACUCUGUCCAACACCUGAAGGCUGGACUUCUGGGCCUUGUGAUCAGACAGCUGGGAUUAUGAGUCUCAUCGAGAAACUCUAUGGCCAUCAUCCUUCAGUGGACUGGAGCCUACAGAAAGUGUCCAAAAGGCAUUGUUUAUGCAAGAGUCUCUGGCUGUGCAAUAAGCAGGUUCAAAUGGUCAUGUGGUUGGGCAAGAUAACUGGAUCUAAUUACUGAGAGUCCCUGACAGAAGUGUCUGAGUUGAGAAAUCCAUCUGAAGAAUUCCCAGAUUCAUUCCUCAUCCCCGUCUGCUCUGCUCCACAUUACAGGCCCCCAGGUCAGUUGGCUACCGGCUGAACAUACCUGGUGGAAGACACUAACAGAAGGCUGCAGAGCAGAGUAAGGAAAGAUGCCCAGCUGUUUCUUCCCUUUGCUCUGUCUUGGAUGUUUUCUCUGGCAAUAGCCAUGUCUCCUCCUUGGCUCUGGCUCUCACCAGAUAAUAUUCCCUGGACAUGACCCAACCUCUUACUCCGGUAACACUCCCUUCUCCCUUUGUCUCUCUCGCCUGGGUGUGAUACUGGCUUCCUGCUGUUGCUCAUCUCUCGUUAUCUCCUGGUUGGUACUUAGCUGCUCCAUCACUUGGGUUACCAAUUCCCUGCAUCAAAUUCUCUCUGAAGAAUGGCUGCCUAGGAAAACCACUGGGGCCUGAAAUGGAGAAUAGUUUCUUCUAUGAUGGAAGGAGUGAGGGAAAUGGACCAAGAGAUGGACACUGAGUAUUGAUGUUGGUGAUUUUUAAAAUUUUUAAAAAGACUUACUUAAUUAUUUAGAAAGAGACAGCAAGUGUGGUGGAGAGGGGCAGAAGAAGAGGGAGAGAGGGAAUCUCAAGCAGAUUCCCCACUGAGCAGGGAGCCUGAUGCCCCUGAGAUCAUGACCCGAGUCCAAAUCAAGAGUUGGACACUUGACUGAUUGAACUACCCAGGUGCCCUGGUGAUGUUCUAUUAGCUAAGCUGCAUGAUGAGUAGAAGUGCAUUCAUGUUAUGAUUACCAUCUGAACUAAGUGAAAAUGUAUACUUGGGCAGCUCAGCGGGGGUAGCUCAGCGGUUUAGCACUGUCUUCGGCCCAGGGUGUGAUCCUGGAGACUCGGGAUCGAGUCCCAUGUCAGGCUCCCUGCAUGGAGCCUGCUUCUCCCUCUGCCUGUGUCUCUGCCUCUCUCUCUCUCUGUG
rnacentral:lncRNA from 1 species